ACAGUGGUGGUUCAGUGGUAGAACUCUUGCCUUUCAUGCAGAAGACCUGAGUUCGAUUCUCAGCCAGUGCG